rnacentral:rRNA from 1 species
GCGCACCAGUCGCGAAAACUUUACAAUGUGCGAAAGCACGAUAAGGGAACUCUGAGUGCCUCCUAAGGAGGCUGUUCAGGUGUCUAAAAAGCACCUGGAGUAAGGGCUGGGUAAGACCGGUGCCAGCCGCCGCGGUAACACCGGCAGCCCAGGUGGUAGCCACUUUUAUUGGGUCUAAAGCGUCCGUAGCCGGUUGAGUAAGUUCCUUGGGAAAUUUGGCUGCUCAACAGUCAAGCUUCCAGGGAAUAUUGCUCGACUUGGGACUGGGAGAGGUCAGAGGUACUCCAGGGGUAGGGGUGAAAUCCAUUAAUCCCUGGGGGACCACCGGUAGCGAAGGCGUCUGACCAGACCAGGUCCGACGGUGA